rnacentral:lncRNA from 1 species
CUGUAAUUUGCUGUUUGGAUGUGAAAUAGCGUUUAUUGAAUGUAAUACCCCUCACUUCAUAUUUAUUGGAUAAAUCAAAACAAUGCAAAAAUUUCUAAAUUACCAGCACCAACUAAGAACAGUCAAAUGACUGUUCAUAUAGUCAAAUGACUGUUCAUAUAACCUUACAAAGGUUUACAAGAUUACUGCACAAAUUAGAUAAGAG